rnacentral:rRNA from 1 species
AUGCAAGGAUACCAGAAUGUGGGUUGCUUUAGAUUUGCCUUGAGGAACUGGCGACAAAAUACACUGAAACCAGGUUUGUUAAAAUUAUCUCCACGAACUAUAUUCCCAACUACCCAUAUAGGAUGUUGCCAAAGGGAUUUCUGUUGGUCUGUAGAAGCUCUGUGGAACAAAAUGCACACCUGUAAGUUAUAUGACACAACCAGUUUCCAUUAUCUUAGUUCAAGGUUUCUUUUUGUGAGGUUAGUUCAAGUUACUCUUCUUUAUUUAGUUGGCUGGACAAAAAAAGCAGUGUGUGGCUAUCUUAAAGUUGCAAUUACCCAAUCGUAG